rnacentral:rRNA from 1 species
AGUUUUAAGUGAAGAGUUUGAUCCUGGCUCAGAGUGAACGCUGGCGGUAGGCCUAACACAUGCAAGUCGAACGGCAGCACAGGAGAGCUUGCUCUCUGGGUGGCGAGUGGCGGACGGGUGAGGAAUACAUCGGAAUCUACCUUUUCGUGGGGGAUAACGUAGGGAAACUUACGCUAAUACCGCAUACGACCUACGGGUGAAAGUGGGGGACCGCAAGGCCUCACGCGAUUAGAUGAGCCGAUGUCCGAUUAGCUAGUUGGCGGGGUAAUGGCCCACCAAGGCGACGAUCGG